rnacentral:rRNA from 1 species
UUUUUUUUUUUAGUAUAUGAAAUUUUACUUUGAGAAAAUUAGAGUGCUUAAAGCAGGCAUAUGCCUUGAAUACUCCAGCAUGGAAUAAUAUUAAAGAUUUUUAUCUUUUUUAUUGGUUCUAAGAUAAGAAUAAUGAUUAAUAGGGACAGUUGGGGGCAUUUGUAUUUAACAGUCAGAGGUGAAAUUCUUAGAUUUGUUAAAGACAAACUAAUGCGAAAGCAUUUGCCAAGGAUGUUUUCAUUAAUCAAGAACGAAAGUUAGGGGAUCGAAGACGAUCAGAUACCGUCGUAGUCUUAACCAUAAAC